rnacentral:lncRNA from 1 species
AUGCAGCGCUCUCAAAUCAGCAGCAGAGAGGAGACGCAGCCGAAUGGAUCAACCUGCAGAGGAAACGUGCAACCUUUUUUAAGAUACAUAGGACAGCGGUUUCAGUUCCAGACAGGGGAAGGAAGAAAGCAAGCAAGGCACCGAAUCAAAGAACAAGUCUAGCCGUGAAAGCACAGUGCAGUUGGCAUAACCUCAGAACGUGCAAGUCAUAGUGCAACAAUGUGGAAGUAAGGACAUGUUGCUGUUGCACAACAGUGUCUAGAAUCAACAGAUAUGAGUCAACUGAUCGACUAACAACAUGAAGUUAACUGAACUAUUCACACGAUGCAGUUCCCCAUGAAGACUUUCAGAACACUUUCAUGAGUACAGAGAGAAAAACAGACAACUGCAGACAAUGUCUAUGUGAGGCCAGCUGUUCACGGUACAAACUGCAGUCAAGGAUGUAGCC